AUGAUUCCAUGACAACAGAAUCUAUGACAACUAAAAGCAAACAGAACUUCUGUAUGUCUUGAAUUCACUACAUCCUGAGGUCUCUGAAAAUUUGACUCAAAUCACUGCAAUGCCACAACCACUGUGGCCCCAGGAUACAUGAAGGGAGAAUUAUUCAAAAUUAAGAAAAUGCUGACUAAAGCGUCAAUCAUUUAUGGAGGAAUGGCUCUCUGAGAGGAAGAAGGAAUGGAGUACAGAGAGAAAUGUAAAAACAAAAAUUAUCAAUAAAAUUCAUUUAAAAAUUGUUUAAUCAGAGGAAGAAAGAAAGAAAAGGAAAA